UCCAGACUCCUACGGGAGGCAGCAGUGGGGGAUAUUGCACAAUGGGGGGAACCCUGAUGCAGCGACGCCGCGUGGGUGAAGGAGCGUUUCGGCGCGUAAAGCCCUAUCGGCAGGGAAGAAGGAGGACGGUACCUGACUAAGAAGCCCCGGCUAACUACGUGCCAGCAGCCGCGGUAAUACGUAGGGGGCAAGCGUUAUCCGGAUUUACUGGGUGUAAAGGGGGCGCAGACGGCAGCGCAAGCCAGGAGUGAAAGCCCGGGGCCCAACCCCGGGACUGCUCUUGGAACUGCGCGGCUGGAGUGCAGGAGGGGCAGGCGGAAUUCCUGGUGUAGCGGUGAAAUGCGUAGAUAUCAGGAGGAACACCGGUGGCGAAGGCGGCCUGCUGGACUGCAACUGACGUUGAGGCCCGAAAGCGUGGGGAGCAAACAGGAUUAGAUACCCUCGUAC
rnacentral:rRNA from 1 species